GAUGAAGAACGUAGCGAAAUGCGAUACUUGGUGUGAAUUGCAGAAUCCCGUAAACCAUCGAGUCUUUGAACGCAAGUUGCGCCCGAAGCCAUUAGGCCGAGGGCACGCCUGCCUGGGCGUCACACGUCGUUGCCCCCCCAUCUACUCCUUCGGGAUUGCGGGGGGCGGAUGAUGGCCUCCCGUGCGCCUCGUCGCGCGGUUGGCAUAAAUGCCAAGUCCUCGGCGACGCACGCCACGACAAUCGGUGGUUGCGAAACCUCGGUUGCCCGUCGUGUGCGGUCGUCGCGCAUCGAGGGCUCGAAAAAAUUGUCGGGCUCCGGCUCGGCUUUCAACGCGACCCCAGGUCAGGCGGGGUUACCCGCUGAAUUUAAGCAUAUCAAUAAGCGGAGGA
rnacentral:misc_RNA from 1 species